UACGUAGGGUGCGAGCGUUGUCCGGAAUUAUUGGGCGUAAAGGGCUCGUAGGCGGUUUGUCGCGUCGGGAGUGAAAAACACUGGGCUUAACCCAGUGCUUGCUUUCGAUACGGGCAGACUAGAGGUAUGCAGGGGGAGAACGGAAUUCCUGGUGUAGCGGUGAAAAUGCGCAGAUAUCAGGAGGAACACCGGUGGCGAAGGCGGUUCUCUGGGCAUGAUCUGACGCUGAGGAGCGAAAGUGUGGGGAGCGAACAGG
rnacentral:rRNA from 1 species